rnacentral:rRNA from 1 species
GUGCCAGCCGCCGCGGUAAUACGGAGGGUGCAAGCGUUAUCCGGAAUCACUGGGUUUAAAGGGUGCGUAGGCGGCUAAAUAAGUCAGAAGUGAAAGCCUGCGGCUUAACCGUAGAAUUGCUUUUGAUACUGUAUAGCUUGAAUUAGGUUGAGGUUGGCGGAAUGUGACAUGUAGCGGUGAAAUGCAUAGAUAUGUCAUAGAACACCAAUUGCGAAGGCAGCUGACUAGACCUUAAUUGACGCUGAGGCACGAAAGCGUGGGGAGCGAACAGGAUUAGAUACCCUGGUAGUCCACGCCCUAAACGAUGCUUACUCGACGUGCGUUCGCAAGGAUGCGCGUCCAAGGGAAACCGUUAAGUAAGCCACCUGGGGAGUACGUCGGCAACGAUGAAACUUAAAGGAAUUGACGGGG